rnacentral:rRNA from 1 species
AGAGUUUGAUCAUGGCUCAGGAUGAACGCUAGCUACAGGCUUAACACAUGCAAGUCGAGGGGAAACGGACAUCGAAAGCUUGCUUUUGAUGGGCGUCGACCGGCGCACGGGUGAGUAACGCGUAUCCAACCUGCCCAUCACUUGGGGAUAACCUUGCGAAAGUAAGACUAAUACCCAAUGACGUCUCUAGAAGACAUCUGAAAGAGAUUAAAGAUUUUAUCGGUGAUGGAUGGGGAUGCGUCUGAUUAGCUUGUUGGCGGGGUAACGGCCGACCAAGGCGACGAUCAGUAGGGGUUCUGAGAGGAAGGUCCCCCACAUUGGAACUGAGACACGGUCCAAAACUCCUACGGGAGCA